rnacentral:piRNA from 1 species
UACUCAAUGAGUGGCCUUGUCAGCCUUUCU